CUGUAACGCAAUGGGUAGCGCGUUGGAUUUCUAAUCAAAAGGACGUGGGUUCGAAUCCCACCUGAAAACGUGA